rnacentral:rRNA from 1 species
UACGGAGGGGGCUAGCGUUGUUCGGAAUUACUGGGCGUAAAGCGUGCGCAGGCGGUUCUAUAAGACAGAUGUGAAAUCCCCGGGCUCAACCUGGGAACUGCAUUUGUGACUGUAGAGCUGGAGUGCGGCAGAGGGGGAUGGAAUUCCGCGUGUAGCAGUGAAAUGCGUAGAUAUGCGGAGGAACACCGAUGGCGAAGGCAAUCCCCUGGGCCUGCACUGACGCUCAUGCACGAAAGCGUGGGGAGCAAACAGG